UGGUCACAGGGAGGUAGUGACAAGAAAUAACAAUACGGGGCUUAAUGUCUUGUAAUUGGAAUGAUGGGAAUUUAAACCUCUUCCAGAGUAUCAAUUGGAGGGCAAGUYUGGUGCCAGCAGCCGCGGUAAUUCCAGCUCCAAUAGCGUAUAUUAAAAUUGUUGCAGUUAAAAAGCUCGUAGUUGAAUUUYUGCUGCAUUGCUUUUGCUCCUUUACGAGUCUUUGCAUUGUGGCUUAUUUCGGACUUUGUUUUACAAUGUCCGGAUGUUUACUUUGAGAAAAUUAGAGUGCUCAAAGCAGGCUUUCGCCUUGAAUAGUUUAGCAUGGAAUAAUAAAGUAGGACUUUGGUUCUAUUUUGUUGGUUUUAGGUACCAAAGUAAUGGUUAAUAGGAACAGUGGAGGGCAUUCGUAUUUAACUGUCAUAGGUGAAAUUCUAAGUA
rnacentral:rRNA from 1 species